UACGUAGGGGGGCAAGCGUUGUCCGGAAUCAUUGGGCGUAAAGAGCGUGUAGGCGGCCCGAUAAGUCCGCUGUGAAAGUCCAGGGCUCAACCCUGGAAUGCCGGUGGAUACUGUCGGGCUCGAAUCCGGAAGAGGUGAGUGGAAUUCCUGGUGUAGCGGUGAAAUGCGCAGAUAUCAGGAGGAACACCAAUGGCGAAGGCAGCUCACUGGGACGGUAUUGACGCUGAGACGCGAAAGCGUGGGGAGCAAACAGG
rnacentral:rRNA from 1 species